AAGGCUUAUUUACUAGGGCUUCCCGUUCCAGAGGAGCGCAUCGUGGUAGCAGAAGGCGGAGAACUCACAUCUCAAACCGCAAGUAGGAAGCAGAGAGCUGUGUGAGGCUUCUGAGUCCCCCAAGCCUACCAGCAGGGGCAUUCUGCCAUCAAGGCCACAGCUCCUAACCUACCCAAACAUUGCCAUCAUCUGGACAAGAAAUGUUGCUGACUUGAGAUGAGACAACUUUACCAUCCACCACCUCCUCUAUGAUGGUCUUGGUCACCCUUGUCUUGCUGGGAUCUGAAAAUCAUGAGAUGACAAGACAGAGCCUCCCUCACAGGGUCCAGCAAAUUUCAUUUCCUGCCUCUCCUUCCAACACCACCUACUCAGAGAGCCUCCAAGAAGAAAAAACACCCAAACCUGGCUCUCACUAAGUGGUCAGCAAGGCCCAGGACAUUCUGUUGGCAUUCCUUCUAGGUAUUGACCAACAGUUACCUGGCAACAACCAGUACAGAAGAUAUGGACUGUAAAAACAACGGCUUUGUGGUCAAGUGACCACUUCCGAAGGAUGCUGUGUGCCUGAAAGUGGGUAAUGACAGCCAGCCGCUGAUCUUAGAAGCCUGAUUGUUCUGGAAAGCGAGAUUCCCACCUCCACCCCCCCGCCCCUCUGCAUCCCAGUCGUGAGAAAAUGGACACAAGAACAAAGGUGAAUAACUCAGGUCAGCGUUGGCUUCCUGCAGUGCUUGCACGUUAUCCAGGUAGGAGGCCAGGCGGUCGUUGAGGUUCUGCAUGGUCACCUUCUCAUUGCCGGAGAGUAGGCCCCCCUCAUUCACAGUGAAGCCAACACAGGAGUUGGCCACCCCGGUGUUCCCUCCUGUGGAGCUGCCCCCAAAGGCGCAGGAGAAGCCACUUCCAAUGCCUGCCACGCCACAUGCAUUUCCAGCUCCAAAGCUGGCUCCCCUGAGCGAUCCUGUGCUGGGACGAGCAUAGGACCUCCUGGAUCCACUGGAAAGGCGAAGAGACAUGAUCUUGGGGCAAGCGUGACGCAGAACUGUGUUCUUGAAAGUCAGAAUAGAGUGCCUUCUGACCCCGA